rnacentral:rRNA from 1 species
GACGAACGCUGGCGGCGUGCCUAAUACAUGCAAGUUGAGCGCUGAAGGUUGGUACUUGUACCGACUGGAUGAGCAGCGAACGGGUGAGUAACGCGUGGGGAAUCUGCCUUUGAGCGGGGGACAACAUUUGGAAACGAAUGCUAAUACCGCAUAAAAACUUUAAACACAAGUUUUAAGUUUGAAAGAUGCAAUUGCAUCACUCAAAGAUGAUCCCGCGUUGUAUUAGCUAGUUGGUGAGGUAAAGGCUCACCAAGGCGAUGAUACAUAGCCGACCUGAGAGGGUGAUCGGCCACCUUGGGACUGAGACCCGGCCCAAACUCCUACGGGAGGGAGCAGUAGGGAAUCUUCGGCAAUAGACGAAAGUCUGACCGAGCAACGCCGCGUGAGUGAAGAAGGUUUUCGGAUCGUAAAACUCUGUUGGUAGAGAAGAACGUUGGUGGGAGUGGAAAGCUCAUCAAGUGACGGUAACUACCCAGAAAGGGACGGCUAACUACGUG